rnacentral:misc_RNA from 1 species
UUUCUAAGACCGAGAAAUAGAGGGUCUAACCCUUUUGUGUCUCUCAGGGCUGGUGCAGGCCCAGCCACUAAACACCUCUCCACCAAUGGAGCAACUCUCGUUUCAGAACUAAAACGCCUUUCUUCUCUUCUUAAAACAAGAAGAACUCUGGCUUUUGCUUAUGGGUUUAUGUUUGCUUUUGUUGCUUUCACUGUUUUCUUAGCCUUCAAUCCCUCUUCUAACUCUUCUGCUCCUUGGUUCUCUAAUAUCUUUACUACUAGCUCUGUUACCAGUUCCUCUGAUUCUUAUAGAUCUCAGUUCUCCUCUAUUUUCUCUUAUUUCUUGCCCAACAACAACAAAUCAUCUUCACAGAAACAAGUACAUGACUUCUCUACUUUGCCUACUCAAAACACUACCAGAUCUAACACUACCUUAUCUCAGCCU